rnacentral:rRNA from 1 species
UGGGGAAUAUUGCACAAUGGGCGCAAGCCUGAUGCAGCCAUGCCGCGUGUAUGAAGAAGGCCUUCGGGUUGUAAAGUACUUUCAGCGGGGAGGAAGGGAGUAAAGUUAAUACCUUUGCUCAUUGACGUUACCCGCAGAAGAAGCACCGGCUAACUCCGUGCCAGCAGCCGCGGUAAUACGGAGGGUGCAAGCGUUAAUCGGAAUUACUGGGCGUAAAGCGCACGCAGGCGGUUUGUUAAGUCAGAUGUGAAAUCCCCGGGCUCAACCUGGGAACUGCAUCUGAUACUGGCAAGCUUGAGUCUCGUAGAGGGGGGUAGAAUUCCAGGUGUAGCGGUGAAAUGCGUAGAGAUCUGGAGGAAUACCGGUGGCGAAGGCGGCCCCCUGGACGAAGACUGACGCUUAGGGGCGAAAGCGUGGGGAGCAAACAGG